AAGAACGCUGAUAUCGCGGUCAAUGGUCUCCUCGAGUUCCUCGGAAACAAGAAGAUGGAGAAAGGAGAUGGCAAAGUAGAGAAAGAGGGAGAGCUUGAAUAUGCUGACACUAAAGAAGCUUAAACAUAAGUAGACCUCUGCUGCUAUUGAGAAAGUUAUCAUUCUAGUGGAUAUGCAUACUGUAUAUUGAAAAUAAUUAAAAUAUCUAAACAUUUUGUGGUCAUGUUGAAGAACAUUACCUUUUUUCAUAUAUUAUUGUGGCGAAAAUAAAUGGUUUCUAAGUGGAAUUAAUUAGAUUAUAUAUGUGUGUUUAAUAUUUUUUUUUUUUUACCAUUUCUAUAUUAUUAAAUUUUAACCAUUUUUGUUUUUUGUUCAUCUAAUCAUUAUUCUUUUUUUUUUGAACACCAGUCUAGACAUUAUUCAAUUUUUGUUUCUUGCAUAUUUCUUUAUGUUGUAAUUUAUUGUUUCAUUAGUAUUACUACAUUUUAGCUAGUUUGCAUUAUAAUCUAUAUAUGUAUGUAUAUAUUUUAAUAUAAUUAAAUCAUUAAAAUAAAAUUUAAUCAGAUUUUUUUUCAGUUAACAGUAUUAACUAUUAAGUGAUACUUUCCUGUGAGAAAAUUAUUCUUUAAUUAAUUUUAAGAGUAAAUAAAAAGUUUUAUACUAAGAAUAAUUUCACCAUUUAAAAACUCUUGUAAAUUUCUUUAAAAACUCUUGUAAAACCUUUAAAAUACCUUUUAAAAAUCCUUGUAAAAAAUUAUGCCGGAAAAUUUUGUAAAAAUAUUUUUUUUUGCCGGAAAUUGUUUUGGCGGAAAAAGUUUUGGCGAGAAAUUUUUGGGGAGAAAAUUUUUGGAAAGAAUAUUCCUUCCUAUGGGAAAUAAUAUUCUUUCAAAUAGGGUAAAAUGGCCCUUAAAAUUUAGCAGAGGACAAACAUGAAAAUGGCAAAAUAAGAGGGUAGUUUUGCAAAAAGGUAUCAUAAAAAGAUUAUUAGUAAUUAUUUCUCUAAAAUCUAAUGAUUUGAUCUAUAUUAGCAAAGAAGUUUCAUUUCCAAUAAAUUAGGUUACAAAUUUAAUACUUGUAAAAUAUUUUAUUUUACUAUACAAAAGGAAUAUUUUUAUUUUUACUUGAUUUUCUUUUUUUAUGAUAUGCUAAUAAUUAUUUCAUUUUAAAAUACUUUAGUAAAUUUAGAAUUAACAUGUGUCAACAUUUAACAGGGACAAUUGACAUGAGGCACAAUCUUCUUAAUAACUAACUUUGAAAACAAAAAUUAAUAUAAAAAAAUUCAUAUUUUAUUUUAGAUAUUUUUUUGUGCUUUAUACUCUUUUUGUAGAAGACAAUAAAUAUCAUUAAGGUUUAGCUUAGUUUAUUUUUUUUUAAAAAUUAUUGCUUUCUUCUUAAUAGUAUGUGACACUUUUCCAAUGAGAGGAACUCUCAAAUUAUAUUAUGAAUAUCUUGAUAGUUAAUAAAUUCUAUUGUUUGUAAUUUUUAUUUUCUUUCUUUAUUAAGCAUUUAAAUAUUAAAAGUUGGCUAGGUUUCUCUUUAUAACCCCAAAUAAACACAUACUCUUCUAAACAAAAGCUCUUCACCAUCUUCCUUGUUGCUUAAGCUAUGGCUUCUCUCUUUAACCAAGUCCCUUCUAUAUCCACAGUUUUCGGCCUCUACACAUCUUUAUCUGCAACCACUUUGAUCCUCCGUAAAAUCCUCAACGACGUUGUGCCUAAACCAUUACGAGAUUACAUCACUAAGAAAUUUGCAGAACUGUUCUCUUCUCACUUCCAGUCGAAUUUCACGUUUGUGAUUGACAAAACAUGUGAGUUUUGUGAAAAUCAGACUUUCCGUGGGGCCGAAGUUUACUUAAAAUCGCGUCUCGCGGGACUUUACCCCCUACUGUACUGCACAUCCUUUUUGCCCUCACAAUCAUUGAUUUUGUCUCCAUACCUCAUUCCUAUUCAAGAAUCCAUCUUAUAAAAUCAGAUCCUCUUACGUAAGUUUGGCGGAAAAACUUGACUACGAAGAUUUGAUAGAUGAAUUUGCAAGUAGAAAUGCAAGAAGAAUCAUAUUCAGAAAAAGAAAAUUUUUAUUGAUAUGUGAUGUUUUAGAACUUUUAAUGCUUUUGUUAACCAUAUCAGUUUUAUGUUUACUUUGAUCAAUUUUUUUUUAAUUAUGAAUAUGAAGAAAGUGGUCUUUUUUUUUGUCCGGCUUGUAGUCGUAUUAAGUGUAGGGACGGCUCUGUAUGUACCUCAAGAUUGAUGACCAUGUCCUAUUUGAUCCCAUUGAGAAGCUUGUCCUUGAGGUGAGUUUAACUCCUGCUGAAGUCGCACAGCAGCUCAUGGCGAGUAAGAAUGCUGAUAUCGCGGUCAAUGGUCUCCUCGAGUUCCUCGAAAACAAGAAGAUGGAGAAAGGAGAUGGCAAAGUAGAGAAAGAGGGAGAGCUUGAAUAUGCUGACACUAAAGAAGCUUAAAUAUAAGUAGACCUCUGCUGCUAUUGAGAAAGUUAUCAUUUUUAUGUGAAUAAACCAUUCUAGUGGAUAUGCAUAUAUUGAAAAUAAUUAAAA
rnacentral:lncRNA from 1 species